rnacentral:rRNA from 1 species
CAGCCCAGAGCCUGAAUCAGUGUGUGUGUUAGUGGAAGCGUCUGGAAAGGCGCGCGAUACAGGGUGACAGCCCCGUACACAAAAAUGCACAUACUGUGAGCUCGAUGAGUAGGGCGGGACACGUGGUAUCCUGUCUGAAUAUGGGGGGACCAUCCUCCAAGGCUAAAUACUCCUGACUGACCGAUAGUGAACCAGUACCGUGAGGGAAAGGCGAAAAGAACCCCGGCGAGGGGAGUGAAAAAGAACCUGAAACCGUGUACGUACAAGCAGUGGGAGCACGCUUAGGCGUGUGACUGCGUACCUUUUGUAUAAUGGGUCAGCGACUUAUAUUCUGUAGCAAGGUUAACCGAAUAGGGGAGCCGAAGGGAAACCGAGUCUUAACUGGGCGUUAAGUUGCAGGGUAUAGACCCGAAACCCGGUGAUCUAGCCAUGGGCAGGUUGAAGGUUGGGUAACACUAACUGGAGGACCGAACCGACUAAUGUUGAAAAAUUAGCGGAUGACUUGUGGCUGGGGGUGAAAGGCCAAUCAAACCGGGAGAUAGCUGGUUCUCCCCGAAAGCUAUUUAGGUAGCGCCUCGUGAAUUCAUCUCCGGGGGUAGAGCACUGUUUCGGCAAGGGGGUCAUCCCGACUUACCAACCCGAUGCAAACUGCGAAUACCGGAGAAUGUUAUCACGGGAGACACACGGCGGGUGCUAACGUCCGUCGUGAAGAGGGAAACAACCCAGACCGCCAGCUAAGGUCCCAAAGUCAUGGUUAAGUGGGAAACGAUGUGGGAAGGCCCAGACAGCCAGGAUGUUGGCUUAGAAGCAGCCAUCAUUUAAAGAAAGCGUAAUAGCUCACUGGUCGAGUCGGCCUGCGCGGAAGAUGUAACGGGGCUAAACCAUGCACCGAAGCUGCGGCAGCGACGCUGAUGCGUUGUUGGGUAGGGGAGCGUUCUGUAAGCCUGUGAAGGUGUGCUGUGAGGCAUGCUGGAGGUAUCAGAAGUGCGAAUGCUGACAUAAGUAACGAUAAAGCGGGUGAAAAGCCCGCUCGCCGGAAGACCAAGGGUUCCUGUCCAACGUUAAUCGGGGCAGGGUGAGUCGACCCCUAAGGCGAGGCCGAAAGGCGUAGUCGAUGGGAAACAGGUUAAUAUUCCUGUACUUGGUGUUACUGCGAAGGGGGGACGGAGAAGGCUAUGUUGGCCGGGCGACGGUUGUCCCGGUUUAAGCGUGUAGGCUGGUUUUCCAGGCAAAUCCGGAAAAUCAAGGCUGAGGCGUGAUGACGAGGCACUACGGUGCUGAAGCAACAAAUGCCCUGCUUCCAGGAAAAGCCUCUAAGCAUCAGGUAACAUCAAAUCGUACCCCAAACCGACACAGGUGGUCAGGUAGAGAAUACCAAGGCGCUUGAGAGAACUCGGGUGAAGGAACUAGGCAAAAUGGUGCCGUAACUUCGGGAGAAGGCACGCUGAUAUGUAGGUGAAGCGACUUGCUCGUGGAGCUGAAAUCAGUCGAAGAUACCAGCUGGCUGCAACUGUUUAUUAAAAACACAGCACUGUGCAAACACGAAAGUGGACGUAUACGGUGUGACGCCUGCCCGGUGCCGGAAGGUUAAUUGAUGGGGUCAGCGCAAGCGAAGCUCUUGAUCGAAGCCCCGGUAAACGGCGGCCGUAACUAUAACGGUCCUAAGGUAGCGAAAUUCCUUGUCGGGUAAGUUCCGACCUGCACGAAUGGCGUAAUGAUGGCCAGGCUGUCUCCACCCGAGACUCAGUGAAAUUGAACUCGCUGUGAAGAUGCAGUGUACCCGCGGCAAGACGGAAAGACCCCGUGAACCUUUACUAUAGCUUGACACUGAACAUUGAGCCUUGAUGUGUAGGAUAGGUGGGAGGCUUUGAAGUGUGG